rnacentral:tRNA from 1 species
GAUCCGGUAGCUCAGCGGUAGAGCAUCGAGGCUUCAUAACCUCACCUGUCGCGGGUUCGAUUCCCGCCCGGAUCA